AGUUUUAUUCUUGCUUUGAUUUAUAUUAAAAAAAUGAAUUUUAUGUUUAAUCCUAAAUGAAUAUAAAGCAGUAAUUAGUAUUAUUCAAUUAAUUAAUAUUAGAAAUAGUAAUUUUUAUGAUAUUGGAUAAAUUCGUGCCAGCAUCCGCGGUUAGACGUGAAAUAUAAAUAUAAAUUAUUAAAUUUUAGUUAAUAUUUUAAUUUAAGUUAUAUAAGAAUUUUUAGGUGAAAUUAUAAUUUAAUAAAAGGCUUAAUAUUUAUUUAUGAAACUAAAAAAUAUACUAUUAAACUAGGAUUAGAUACCCUAUUAUAAUAUAGGUAAAAAAUUAGAUUUGGGUAGUAAUAGUUAUUUUCUUGAAACCCAAAGAAUUUGGCGGUGUUUUAGUCUAGUUAGAGGAAUCUGUUCUAUAAUCGAUAUUACACGAUUAUUUUUACUUAUAAUUGUUAUCAGUUUGUAUACCGCCGUCAUAAGAAUAUCUUUGAAAAGAUAUAAAUUUCUUUAUUUUAUAUUAAAAUUUAAGUCAGGUCAAGGUGCAGCUUAUGUAUAAGAAGAAAUGGAUUACAAUAAAAUUAUUUAUAUGAAUAUAAUAUUUAAAAUGUUAUUGAAAGUGGAUUUAAUUGUAAAUGUUAUUAUUUAAUAAUAUUGAUUUUAGCUCUAAAAUGUGCACAUAUCGCCCGUCGCUCUCAUUAAUAAAAUGAGAUAAGUCGUAACAUAGUAGAUGUACCGGAAGGUGUAUCUAGAAGA
rnacentral:ncRNA from 1 species